CUUCCGACUUCAACUUUAGCUAUACUGGUGUCUGCAUAUUUUAAACUUUAAACUGUAAUUCUCCUUUUGCUGUCUGUCUACCAGUUGUGUAAAUAUGAAUAUACAUUUAGUUCGUAAAUAAUAAUACCAGCUUUGUUCGCACUUGAGAUGUUAAUGAAUUACAGCACAUAAAUAACAACAUUUGAGUGUUAACUGUGGAUGCUUUGCCUUUUGCUUUUCACAAUGUAACGCAGUCCCCACAAUAAUGACAAUCAACCAUCCACAAUGUGUACCAAUUUACUUCUGCCAGGUGUGAAUCUACUAUAUAUUUUUGAUUAUGUCUCACAGUAUAUGAUCACACAUUUUGUGACUUUUUUUCUAAGUUAACAUACAAUAAUGUUUAUGUUCAACCAAAUAGAAAAAUGAUUUUGAGCAAAGAGAGGGAUGCGGCACGGGUGGCAUUUGAGGAGGCUCUUCGAGAAAGCUAUCGCACAGCAUUACAAUUUCAACAUGAUCAGAAGGAGCGAGCUGCAAAGUGACAGUCACCUGCUCCUGCCACUAGCCUUGCCCCUGUCCAAUGGAUAGAGAGGGACAGCAGAGCCAACAAAAUUCACAAAAGACCUGGACAUAAAAGCUACAAGAAGACCUCAAGACAUGUCACAGUGAAGGACAUGGACCUUACCGGAACAGGUGACCAUAUUGCAGCUAAUGGCGUGGGUGAGUACCACCUUAAAUAGACCUUGACCCUGGGGCAUCUGACCCUAAAACAGGGUCCCCCCCCCCCAGAAGUUAUUUGUUUUUGUUUUAACCCUAAAUAACCACCCCUGCAUUAAUUAAUCAAAGGCUUGAUGAUUAAUUUACUAAUUGAACCAUGUGUGUCAGUUAAGGGCUAAAACAAAAAUGUGAAACGUCCGGAGGGGCCGAGGAGAGAUCUCCCUUCAGGGAUUUCUUAAUAGACAAGGCUAGGAUCGUUACACUACUCCCUCUGUUCAGAAAACACAACCUGUGCUUCUCUAUCACAAAUCCCUCACGCCUGAACAGGACAUGCUUUUGACCCUCAUACAGUAUCCUACUUCUGCACAUCAGAGUAGCAAAUGGUAGGAGAAGGCAUCGUUCAACUUGUCAGACAGCAUGACUACCUUGUAAGGACAUGUCCAACUAGUACUAAAUGCAGUUUUUAGCUGUCUCACUGGCUUUCAUUUUAAUGUUGGGUUAAAUACAAAGUGGUGCCUUAAAACAUUCAAAUCCUCAGACCGAUUGAAUGUAACCUAAGCCUCUGUCUUGCAGGCAUGUAUUGACAAUAGAUUCAAAGUGCUAUAUUACUCCCAAAUUAAGAAGAACCACUGCGAAUGUACAUUAAAACCGCAUAGUUAUGUACAUGUCAUUUAAUGACACAUAUAUAUAUAUAAUAUAAUGGUGUACAGUAUAUCAUAAUUUUAUGACAUAUAC